CCUACCGCACUAACCCAAGCGCCCCACCCCCUUCCUCUUCAUCUCCUAUUCUUCUGUUUCAAUCUAAUUUUAUCCUAUUUAACCGUUCUCUCCUCUGCCGCUCCACCCAUCUGCCCCCUCUGCCUCUUCCGCUUCUUCCGUUUCGCAACCCCUCAGGGUUGAGUCAAGCGAGGAUCGAUGGCUGUUCUGAAAGAACGAGGUUUCUUGCGCUUGCUUUUGCCGCCGUUGGCGGGAAAUCACGACGGCCAUGGUUGGAUCACUGAGGGAUACUGGAAAGAUCACUUUCCCUUCGUCGCUAAAGCAGGUUACCGAGUUUUUGGCUUUCAGGGGAUGAUCGUGUAGCGACAUGUGGGCUGCUAUGGUGCAGGAUGGACAUUUUGGGUGAGAAAGUUUCAAUUCUGGCUCCAAUAGACCAUCCUUGCCAGGAGAUACUCUUUGUGUAGCAGUCUCAGCCUCUACUUGGGUGGAGCCUCUUGGAAGGUGUACUAUUGCAUUUGCUUUAGCCUGGUCAUCCCCUAAAGUUAAAUUUUAGAAGGGAUGCAUUUAUCACAGGAGAUAUACGAGAUUCUUUGGAACUUCUGAUCUUUGGAAGUUCUGAGAGAUCACCUGUUGAAUUGGUGCAUGAUACAUUGACAAAGUAUAAGUGCUGGGAAGAAGAGAUUGAGAAAUGGCAAAAUCCUAUUCUCAUGGAUGAAAAGCUUCCAGAAUGGUACAAGUUUACUGUUUUUAAUGAGUUAGUUGGUGGAGGAACAGUCUGGACAUGUAUUAUUUAUCGAAGCAUGUAUGCAUUUUAAGCUUAGCUUCUUAUUGGCUCUCCCUAUAGUCUAUAUUUCCCCUUGUUCUUGAAAGAUUUUCCUUAACAUUUCAUGUUUGUUUUACUACAGUACCACCUGAUGAGGUGCAGGCUUUGUUGGUUUUUUAUGGUACUUUACUGUGGUUUUUUAGCUAUAUAUUCAUAGGCAUUUCAUGUUGCUUCUUGCUUUAGGGAAAUCCAUGGAAUUUUGACAUCUUGGUUAUUCUUAGUGCAUCCUGGCCUUGUUUAUGAGUUUUAUGUAAACUUUACCCAUGCUAUUUUUUAUAAUACUUGCUUGAUGCGUUCCCUCCAUAUUUUUAAUGAUCAAUUGUUGUGGUUCUUACCUAAUGCAGAUGGUGAAGCUCCUGCUUUUGACGAGAGCCAAAAAGUUUCUAAAAAAGAGACAAAUCUAUGAAAGGUUUUAAAGCCUAAAUCCACGAAACAUAGCAACCCUUAGGCUGAUUACAAAAGUUGUUCUACUGCAGCAAAUAUGCACUGCUUUCCUCUGACACACAUUACACAUAUUAUUUAAUUAUGAUUAUUUUUAGCCGUUACUGGUUCUUUUGAUGCCAUACCUCAUCUUUUGUGUUGAAGUAAUGAGAAGUUGUUAUCUUUGUUUCUAUUUAAUUAUCUUUAGAGAUGUUCUAUCUAUUCUAUAAUGCCAUUUAAACUAUAUCAAUGUUGUCUCAUUGGAUUCGUGUUCGGUCUUCCUUUCGGACUCUUGAUCGGAUAUUUCUUCUUCAUCUACUCUGAACCCAAAGAAGAUGCUCAGGUUCACGAUUCUUUCUUUUUGGAUGAAAAUUAAUCGAAUUUUGAUGUGGGUUUUUGGUCUAAAAUGACUGCUUGCUGUUAUUUUAGCAUGUUGAUGAGGUUAGGAUUACAAAGUUUCAGGCUUUAGUUGUUCUGUUGCAGGGAUUUAGAUUAAUAGGUGAUGAACAAAUCGAAAAAAAAUCUAAUCUUUCUUUGUUUUACAUGAAUUUGUAUUUGGAAGAACAGAGGAUUACUGGAAAUACAUUGGGAAUCUGAUCAUUUGGGAUACGGAUUCUAUGAGACGAAAUUGCCAAUUGGAUGAUGAGUGCAAGUUCUUUUCCCUUUACGCAAGGCAAUAGGCAUAUCUAGAUCAUUAGAAUAAUCAGAUACUUCAAUUUCUUGAGAGAGAGAGAGAGAGAGAGAGAGAGAGAGAGAGAGAGAGAGAGAGAGAGAGGGGAAGAGGAGUUACAUUACUUGUAUGAGUUUCAGCAGGUUGGACCACAGGGGCAGAUUCGUGGCAGUGCCUUGAUGAUGGACAAAACUCUGUCUAUUUGUGAGAUUUCUGUUUCCUUGAGCAGACAAGUUCUUUGUGUUUUGGAGCUGCAUCAGGUGUAAAAAAUAGCAUUAUACAUGCUAAAUUGUAUUGACUUUAUGUUCUUGCAGUUAUUCUUAGUUUUUUUUAUAUUGGUCUCUUAAAUCUUUAACAAUUUGAAGUUAGCCUUUCAAAUCAUUUAACAUUCUAUUUGGCCACUCAAUUCUCAUAAGUUAUCUCAAAAUUACGCCAUCAACUCAUUGAAAUUGAUAUUACGUCCCCCAAUCACUAAAGUUGUCACAAGUUAAUCCCUCCGAUCAAGAGCAACAAGAUAUAAACAUUAGUAGGAGAAGUAACUCUUCACAUUUUCUCAUAUACAUUAAGCCUAGAGUUGUACUUUGCUACACGUCACUUGAACACUCACAUAGUUUAAAGUCUAAUGAUAUAAUUAUACAUUGGAAGUGAAACGUCCAAUGUUAAAGUGUCUCAAAGACAGAAGAAGGAGGCCAUCCAUUCUCAUCGAAAUAGCUACCAUAUGACGAUGUCAAAUACUAUCAGCCAUCAAUAAAUAACAGUAGAAGUAACUUUUCGCAUUUUCUCAUAUAUAGAAAGCCUAGAGUUGUACUCUACUACACAUCACUUGAAACAUUCACAUAGUUUAAAGUCCCACAUUCCUAAUGCGUUGUAGUUAUACAUGUCAUUAUUAGCACACGUGCACACACACACAAACAAAUGCAAACAAAGAUAAGAAAAUUUUAUCCUUUUUUACUUUAUUAGAGGUUGCAAGGACACCACUGAAAAAAUUUAAGUAACCUAAAGUAUUAGCUUUCUAUAAUGUUUCUCUAGACCUGAAGAGGGAAUAUGUAACCAAAAUUAGACAUAAAUAUACAUUUUUGUUGCAUGACAACCUUUCUAAUUGUAUAAUCUAAUAAAUUGAAUCGUUUUGUUAGCAUUGCAUUUUCUGUAUAUUUACUUAUGAAUUGUCAGUUCGAUCAUCUAUGUUAUGCUACUAUGAACUACAUUUCUUUGUGCCUCAAUUUUUUGCAGUAAUACCAUCUAUACGCUGCACAUAUGCAUUGCACAAUAGAUCAAUCAUUACCAUUUUUUUAUGCCAAAACUGAACAACAUCGAUGACAACACCAAAGUGAAUUAUGGCUUAGUUCGAAGGUUUUGUUGAUGGCAAAUGAAGCUACUGUUAAAUGUUUAUUCCCAAGUGGUUCUUACAGGUUGAUGUUUUCCUCCAAUAGCAAUUCAUUAUAUUUUAAAUUAGAAGAAAAAUGUAAGAGAUUAAGAGAUGGAUUGAGGGUUGUAAUCUUCUCUGAUGAUGCUUUUUGUAACUCAAGUUUUUGUGCUGAGUUUGUGAUGUAACCCAAAUGUAUCAAUGAUCUCAUGCCAUUCAUUUUUCA